AUUGAACGCUGGCGGCAGGCCUAACACAUGCAAGUCGAGCGGAUGAAGGGAGCUUGCUUCUGGAUUCAGCGGCGGACGGGUGAGUAAUGCCUAGGAAUCUGCCUGGUAGUGGGGGAUAACGUCCGGAAACGGGCGCUAAUACCGCAUACGUUCUGAGGGAGAAAGUGGGGGAUCUUCGGACCUCACGCUAUCAGAUGAGCCUAGGUCGGAUUAGCUAGUUGGUGGGGUAAAGGCCUACCAAGGCGACGAUCCGUAACUGGUCUGAGAGGAUGAUCAGUCACACUGGAACUGAGACACGGUCCAGACUCCUACGGGAGGCAGCAGUGGGGAAUAUUGGACAAGGGGCGAAUGCCUGAUCCAGCCAGGCCGCGGGGGGGAAGAAGGUCUUCGGAUUGUAAAGCACUUUAAGUGGGGAGGAAGGGCAGUAAGUUAAUACCUUGCUGUUUUGACGUUACCAACAGAAUAAGCACCGGCUAACUUCGUG
rnacentral:rRNA from 1 species